rnacentral:lncRNA from 1 species
AUUUGAUAGCUACUAAUAUUUCUUGAUAAAUCAGUCUGCGCUUGCAAGUCAUUUUUGACCUUGUAGACGCGAUAUGAUUGUUAUAUUUUCAUCCUUUCACUGUCCAUGUUUUUGUGGUCUCUAUCUAGUAAGGUUCAAAUUGUUUUCAUCUCUGUGAUUGAUCCUUUCUCAGAACUUCCAAUGGUAAAGAGAACAGAUUUUAUCACUUAAUUAGGUCAUGCAAAUGGAUCAAGGAGUUCUGCUGACGAGAAAGGUUUAGUGUUGAUGAGCCCUUAAAGUGCCCACUUAUGAUUUGAGGUACAAAAUUCCAUUCUCGACUCAGUUACUCACUUUGAAUCCUUCUUCCAAUUUAAAAUUAAUGAUUCAUACAAGGGUAACAUGUGAAAGGUUGAAAGUUAUUAACAGGAGAAUUUGACAAUUAUCCGAAAAAUUUGUUUGCUGGCCCAUCUAUUUACUACAUAUCAUAAACUGAAUUCUUAUAAUUGAUUCUUCUACAAAACAACUUUUGUACAUAAUGUUGCCCUGUGUGAAAUGACAGAUGGUCUUAUAGAUGGAGAACUCUUCUAUUUGAAUGACGUUGAUGCCUAAACUGGGGGUAUUAAUGGGGUAGUUGCAAACUUGGUUGUGCAAUAAUCAAGCCUUGCCUAAGUUUCAGGCUUUGCAUGUAGCAACCCAAAAAUUUUAUAGAUAAAAAUUUAUUUAUUUUGUAUAUUAUAUAAAUUCCUAUUUUAUUUGGGUCUAAUAAUUAGAUUUUCACAUAUCAAGAUUUAACAUAUCAAUAUUGGGCUUGUUGGAUAGAUCCACUCAUUUCACAUGUAGAUAUAUAGGAAUUCUACCUUGUAUUUGUAAUUGUAGUAGUUGGCCAUGAUUCUACUUUUGAUUUAGUAAGUUUUAGUUAUAUAUAUUUUUAUCACAAUCAAGUAUACGAAUCACAUCAUGAUUUGCUUUAUCAAAAAAGUUUAGCUUUAUCAAAUUUGGUGGUACACGUCUCUUUCAUCCCAAUUUCACCAAAAUUCUAUUGUCUUUUUCAACUAUAAAUACAAUGCCAAAAGUCUCAUCAUUGACUACCAAAAAUAAAUACAAUACAUACGGGAAAGAGAGAGAGAAUAGCAUUGGAAAUAAAGUUUGCAUACAUCGAAUAUUUUAAUCACGUAUUUUUCAAAGCGGAGAAAAGAUUUUGAACGUGCUUCAGAUUUUUCUAAUGAGGUAAGAUACUUUAAGUGCAAGUGUUUUUGUUUCCUUAUAUGUUUAUAUUCAAUAAAAAAAUUCAUUGAUUGUCAGUAGACAUUCGUUUUUUUUAAGAGAUAUGAAAUCCUACGGGAUUAUAAGAGGACUUAAGAUGGGUGUGUUGCUUGAUUAUCGAUAUACUCCAUAAAAUCAGAUGGUAUGAAUUGUAAUUUUUAUUGUUAUAUAUAUGUAAAUGGAAGCUGCACGUAUCUUAUUGGGUGUUUUCGAAUACACACUUUUACAAAUUUUUGCAGGUUAGUACAGGUCGAUUGGAAUUGUGGAAGGGCGGUGAUGCGGGUUGCCAAGUGGAUCAAAUGAAAAGAAAAAAGAAAUAAGUUUGUCGUUUUUAAAUUUACCAAUUAGUUUAAUUUUAUUCCAACCAUGUUAUUUGAAUUAAUCAGGAGUUUAUGUUAUGUUUAGAUAAAAUUUUCAUAUUUUAAAUUUAGAUUUAUAAAUUUUGCAGUUAUUUGUUUAAUAAAUAAUUUUAUUUUUAUAGUUCCGCACUUAAAAUAAAGAAAAAUGAGUUUUUCGUAAUGUUUCGGAGUUUAUAGAAAAUUGGGGCGUUACAUUGCAACUCCUCAAUUGUCUUGCUAAGAACUCAUCAUUCUCUCUCUGAUAUCUCAUCAGUUACUUCAUUGAUCUAACUUUUCAUAAAUAUUAUAAGAUGGCUGCAUAGGCGAAUUUGAAGUUUCGUACACGAGAUAACUGUAGAGUUGUUGAAUAUAAAGUUACAUGAACUUUCUGCUGUGUGAUUCAGAAUAUGGAUUUGCUGCAACUUUGCCGAAAUUCUAUUGACUAAGAAUUGCUUCUAAAAUCUUGUACAGUCUAUGAAAAAUGCCUGUUUCAAUGAUGCAUGAGGCUAAAUAAUGUUGUAAUCAGACUUCAGAGCAUCAUCUUAUUAAUUUUUUUCAGCAUUGCACAACAAAAGAGAACCUUGGUUCAGGAAUUGAAGUGCUUGACAAUAACUAGCGUUUCUAUCUGUAAAGUGGCAUGUGCUAUAUCGUUCGAACCCUACAUCACCUGGUGGUGGCUAUCGGAGUUCAAUUGGAUGCCUAUUUUUCAAAACCAACGAAAUGAUUCAGGUUGUUGAAGCCCCUAACGCAGUGAGAAACUGAGUAUCCUUUUCUCUUCUAGGGCUCCAAGAAGGAGAGAUUUCAUUGAAGGGUAAAUCCAAUUGCCAAAUUUUUUAUUUGAUUUUCAUUUUUAUUUUUCACUCAAGUAUUUAGGGAGUUCUUUCUUUCUGUGGAUACCAUUCAACCAAAAGAUCAAGAUUCCUUAUGCUUUUGCUAAAACUCAUACAGCAUCUUGAAAACUUUCUUUCUGCAUGAAGCAUCAAGUGACGAGAGAUGGCAAUUUAAACUGACCUGGUGCAGCUGCAAGAUCUAUCAAAACUUGAGGCAAUUACCACAUUAUAAUCAUUAGUUUCAUCAAGGUAUUGAUAUGGCCUAAUGACUAUA